rnacentral:rRNA from 1 species
GACGAACGUUGGCGGCGUGCUUAAUACAUGCAAGUCAACUGAAGCAGUGGUAGCAAUAUCGCUGUGGAGGUGGCGCACGGGUGAGUAACACGUAGGUAAUCUGCCUUCAGGUCUGGCAUAACUCCGGGAAACCGGGGCUAAUAGCAGAUGAUGCAGCGGCUCGACAUCGAGACAGUUGUUAAAGCUAUGGCGCCUGAAGAUGAGCCUGCGUCUGAUUAGCUAGUUGGCGGGGUAACGGCCCACCAAGGCAACGAUCAGUAGCUGGUCUGAGAGGAUGAACAGCCACACUGGAACUGAGACACGGUCCAGACUCCUACGGGAGGCAGCAGUAAGGAAUAUUGCUCAAUGGGAGAAAUCCUGAAGCAGCAACGCCGCGUGAGGGACGAAGGGCUUUUGCUUGUAAACCUCUGUAGUGAGAGAAAAAAAUCCCAAUCUUUGGGACAUGAUGGUAUCUCAAAAGUAAGCCCCGGCUAACUACGUG